rfam:Heterocephalus glaber contig2204, whole genome shotgun sequence.
GGUCGUAUCUCAGUGGUAGAGUGGUUACCUGCUAUGUAGAAGGCCCUGGGUUCAAUCCCCAAGACCA